rnacentral:piRNA from 1 species
CCAUUAGCACUCUCGGGGAAGCCAAA